GAGUUUGAUCAUGGCUCAGAUUGAACGCUGGCGGCAUGCCUUACACAUGCAAGUCGAACGGCAGCAUGAUCUAGCUUGCUAGAUUGAUGGCGAGUGGCGAACGGGUGAGUAAUACAUCGGAACGUGCCCUGUAGUGGGGGAUAACUAGUCGAAAGAUUAGCUAAUACCGCAUACGACCUGAGGGUGAAAGUGGGGGACCGCAAGGCCUCAUGCUAUAGGAGCGGCCGAUGUCUGAUUAGCUAGUUGGUGGGGUAAAGGCCCACCAAGGCGACGAUCAGUAGCUGGUCUGAGAGGACGAUCAGCCACACUGGGACUGAGACACGGCCCAGACUCCUACGGGAGGCAGCAGUGGGGAAUUUUGGACAAUGGGCAAAAGCCUGAUCCAGCAAUGCCGCGUGUGUGAAGAAGGCCUCGGUUGUAAG
rnacentral:rRNA from 1 species